CGAUCAUAUAUAUUGGACCUUGGCUGAAAGCAUCAAAUGGAAAGAAAAAUGGGCGCAUUCUGGGAUUUAAAGUUGACAAUGAGGCAAUGACUCUAUGUUAUCAAAUAAGAGGAGAAAAAAAAUGAGCAAUGAGGAAACUGAGAAACACAACACUGAACAAUUUGAAUUGACAGUUUCCAAAGCCGUUGAAAAACGAAUGGAAGCGUUCGAAAUAGAAAACGAAAAACGACUUAAAAUGAUGGAACAACGAUUAAUUGACAAUAUACAUGUGAGUUUAAUAAAUGUUUUUAAAUUAGUUUUUAAAUUAGUUUUUAAAUUUAUUAAUUUUUGAAUAUCUUCAUUUAUUUUCAGGCUAAUGCUACAAGCAACGACCCCAAUCGUCCAUCAUCGAGUAAUGUUCCUGCUUCUUCUCAAUUGAACCAACUUAUUCCAUUAUCGAGAAAUUAUUGGGAAGAAGAUACUACUUUGAAUUCGACACCUCGACCAAAAGGUAAGACUUUAGAUAUUUUCAAUAUUGUUCAACAAAAAAAAUUGUAAAACAUUUACCUCUAUUGUAAUUGAAACACUUAACUCUAUUGUAAUUGUAAUCUUUAUUAUAACUCUAUUAUCUCUAAUAAACACUUAAUCUAAUUUGUGAUUCAAUAUGUGAAAUUUGUAUGAUUGAAUGUAUGUGAUUGGUGUGAUCGAUUGAAUGUAUGAGAUUGGUGUGAAUUGAAUUGUAUUUGCAGGUAUUGAGGAAC
rnacentral:lncRNA from 1 species